rnacentral:misc_RNA from 1 species
CGCACAUUGCGCCUAUAGGUAUUCCUUUAGGCAUGUCCUUUUGAGGGGCUUAUCACCAUAGCAAAAUGCUGUGUUGGACUAAACCGUCAUCCGGUUGGUCUAAAAACGAGUGCGCGACGCAGCGAACAGAUCUCGCUCAAGUCGUUGCAAAAUUUACGGCCUUUAGGCUAAUUCGUUUGCCCUCAGAGAGACAAGAUUACCCGCUGAACUUAA